GCGGGGGUCGCCUAGCCUGGCAGGGCGUGGGAUUGCUAAUCCCAUGUCCGAAAGGACACGUGGGUUCGAAUCCCACUCCCCGCGCCA
rnacentral:tRNA from 4 species